rnacentral:rRNA from 1 species
AGAAUUUGAUCUUGGUUCAGGAUGAACGCUAGCUACAGGCUUAACACAUGCAAGUCGAGGGGCAGCAUGAUCUUAGCUUGCUAAGAUUGAUGGCGACCGGCGCACGGGUGAGUAACGCGUAUCCAACCUUCCCCUUAGUAGGGCAUAGCCCGGUGAAAAUCGGAUUAAUACCCUAUGUUGUGUCAUGAGGACAUCUGAAUAACACUAAAGAUUUAUCGCUAAGGGAUGGGGAUGCGUCCGAUUAGGUAGUCGGCGGGGUAACGGCCCACCGAGCCCCUCGAUCGGUAGGGGUUCUGAGAGGAAGGUCCCCCACACUGGUACUGAGACACGGACCAGACUCCUACGGGAGGCAGCAGUGAGGAAUAUUGGUCAAUGGGCGUAAGCCUGAACCAGCCAAAGUAGCGUGCAGGAUGACGGCCCUAUGGGUUGUAAACUGCUUUUAUACGGGGAUAAAGGGAGGGACGUGUCCCUUAUUGUAGGUACCGUAUGAAUAAGGACCGGCUAAUUCCGUGCCAGCCGCCGC